rnacentral:rRNA from 1 species
GGUUAAGCGACUAAGCGUACACGGUGGAUGCCCUGGCAGUCAGAGGCGAUGAAGGACGUGCUAAUCUGCGAAAAGCGUCGGUAAGGUGAUAUGAACCGUUAUAACCGGCGAUGUCCGAAUGGGGAAACCCAGUGCAAUUCGUUGCACUAUCGUUAACUGAAUACAUAGGUUAACGAGGCGAACCGGGGGAACUGAAACAUCUAAGUACCCCGAGGAAAAGAAAUCAACCGAGAUUCCCCCAGUAGCGGCGAGCGAACGGGGAGCAGCCCAGAGUCUGAAUCAGCUUGUGUGUUAGUGGAACGGUCUGGAAAGUCCGACGGUACAGGGUGAUAGUCCCGUACACCAAAAUGCACAGGUUGUGAACUCGAAGAGUAGGGCGGGACACGUGGUAUCCUGUCUGAAUAUGGGGGGACCAUCCUCCAAGGCUAAAUACUCCUGACUGACCGAUAGUGAACCAGUACCGUGAGGGAAAGGCGAAAAGAACCCCGGCGAGGGGAGUGAAAAAGAACCUGAAACCGUGUACGUACAAGCAGUGGGAGCACCUUCGGGUGUGACUGCGUACCUUUUGUAUAAUGGGUCAGCGACUUAUAUUCUGUAGCAAGGUUAACCGUAUAGGGGAGCCGCAGGGAAACCGAGUCUUAACUGGGCGUUAAGUUGCAGGGUAUAGACCCGAAACCCGGUGAUCUAGCCAUGGGCAGGUUGAAGGUUGGGUAACACUAACUGGAGGACCGAACCGACUAAUGUUGAAAAAUUAGCGGAUGACUUGUGGCUGGGGGUGAAAGGCCAAUCAAACCGGGAGAUAGCUGGUUCUCCCCGAAAGCUAUUUAGGUAGCGCCUCGUGAACUCAUCUUCGGGGGUAGAGCACUGUUUCGGCUAGGGGGUCAUCCCGACUUACCAACCCGAUGCAAACUACGAAUACCGAAGAAUGUUAUCACGGGAGACACACGGCGGGUGCUAACGUCCGUCGUGAAGAGGGAAACAACCCAGACCGCCAGCUAAGGUCCCAAAGUCAUGGUUAAGUGGGAAACGAUGUGGGAAGGCACAGACAGCCAGGAUGUUGGCUUAGAAGCAGCCAUCAUUUAAAGAAAGCGUAAUAGCUCACUGGUCGAGUCGGCCUGCGCGGAAGAUGUAACGGGGCUAAACCAUGCACCGAAGCUGCGGCAGCGACACUAUGUGUUGUUGGGUAGGGGAGCGUUCUGUAAGCCUGCGAAGGUGUGCUGUGAGGCAUGCUGGAGGUAUCAGAAGUGCGAAUGCUGACAUAAGUAACGAUAAAGCGGGUGAAAAGCCCGCUCGCCGGAAGACCAAGGGUUCCUGUCCAACGUUAAUCGGGGCAGGGUGAGUCGACCCCUAAGGCGAGGCCGAAAGGCGUAGUCGAUGGGAAACAGGUUAAUAUUCCUGUACUUGGUGUUACUGCGAAGGGGGGACGGAGAAGGCUAUGUUAGCCGGGCGACGGUUGUCCCGGUUUAAGCAUGUAGGCUGAUUGUCCAGGCAAAUCCGGAUAAUCAAGGCUGAGGUGUGAUGACGAGGCACUACGGUGCUGAAGUAACAAAUGCCCUGCUUCCAGGAAAAGCCUCUAAGCAUCAGGUAACAUCAAAUCGUACCCCAAACCGACACAGGUGGUCAGGUAGAGAAUACCAAGGCGCUUGAGAGAACUCGGGUGAAGGAACUAGGCAAAAUGGUGCCGUAACUUCGGGAGAAGGCACGCUGGUGUGUAGGUGAAGUCCCUGCGGAUGGAGCUGAGACCAGUCGAAGAUACCAGCUGGCUGCAACUGUUUAUUAAAAACACAGCACUGUGCAAACACGAAAGUGGACGUAUACGGUGUGACGCCUGCCCGGUGCCGGAAGGUUAAUUGAUGGGGUUAUCCGUAAGGAGAAGCUCUUGAUCGAAGCCCCGGUAAACGGCGGCCGUAACUAUAACGGUCCUAAGGUAGCGAAAUUCCUUGUCGGGUAAGUUCCGACCUGCACGAAUGGCGUAAUGAUGGCCAGGCUGUCUCCACCCGAGACUCAGUGAAAUUGAACUCGCUGUGAAGAUGCAGUGUACCCGCGGCAAGACGGAAAGACCCCGUGAACCUUUACUAUAGCUUGACACUGAACAUUGAGCCUUGAUGUGUAGGAUAGGUGGGAGGCUUUGAAGCGUGGACGCCAGUCUGCGUGGAGCCAACCUUGAAAUACCACCCUUUAAUGUUUGAUGUUCUAACGUUGGCCCCUGACCGGGGUUGCGGACAGUGUCUGGUGGGUAGUUUGACUGGGGCGGUCUCCUCCCAAAGCGUAACGGAGGAGCACGAAGGUUAGCUAAUCCUGGUCGGACAUCAGGAGGUUAGUGCAAUGGCAUAAGCUAGCUUGACUGCGAGCGUGACGGCGCGAGCAGGUGCGAAAGCAGGUCAUAGUGAUCCGGUGGUUCUGAAUGGAAGGGCCAUCGCUCAACGGAUAAAAGGUACUCCGGGGAUAACAGGCUGAUACCGCCCAAGAGUUCAUAUCGACGGCGGUGUUUGGCACCUCGAUGUCGGCUCAUCACAUCCUGGGGCUGAAGUAGGUCCCAAGGGUAUGGCUGUUCGCCAUUUAAAGUGGUACGCGAGCUGGGUUUAGAACGUCGUGAGACAGUUCGGUCCCUAUCUGCCGUGGGCGCUGGAGAAUUGAGGGGGGCUGCUCCUAGUACGAGAGGACCGGAGUGGACGCAUCACUGGUGUUCGGGUUGUCAUGCCAAUGGCACUGCCCGGUAGCUAAAUGCGGAAGAGAUAAGUGCUGAAAGCAUCUAAGCACGAAACUUGCCCCGAGAUGAGUUCUCCCUGAGACUAUAAGUCUCCUGAAGGAACGUUGAAGACGACGACGUUGAUAGGCCGGGUGUGUAAGCGCAGCGAUGCGUUGAGCUAACCGGUACUAAUGAACCGUGAGGCUUAACCUU